rnacentral:rRNA from 1 species
UACGGGGGGGGGCAAGCGUUGUUCGGAAUUACUGGGCGUAAAGGGCGCGUAGGCGGUUUGCUAAGUUGGACGUGAAAACUCUGGGCUUAACCCAGAGCCUGCAUCCAAAACUGGCAAGCUAGAGUUUUGGAAGGGGAGGCGGAAUUCCUGGUGUAGCAGUGAAAUGCGUAGAUAUCAGGAGGAACACCGGUGGCGAAGGCGGCUUCCUGGACAAAAACUGACGCUGAGGCGCGAAAGCUAGGGGAGCAAACAGG